UACAGAGGGUGCGAGCGUUAAUCGGAAUUACUGGGCGUAAAGCGUGCGUAGACGGUUAUGUAAGUCAGGUGUGAAAGCCCCGGGCUCAACCUGGGAAUUGCAUUUGAGACUGCAUAGCUAGGGUGCGGAAGAGGGAAGCGGAAUUUCCGGUGUAGCGGUGAAAUGCGUAGAUAUCGGAAGGAACAUCAGUGGCGAAAGCGGCUUCCUGGACCAGUACCGACGUUCAGGCACGAAAGCGUGGGGAGCAAACAGG
rnacentral:rRNA from 1 species